UUUUUUUUGGGUUGGUCCUGCCAGUAUUCAUACGUUGUUUUCAAAGAUUAAGCCAUGCAUGGGUAAUUUUAAAUAGUUUUAGGGUGAAACUGGGAAUGGUUCAUUAUAUCAGUUUUAGUUUAUUUGGAAUAGUUUGUAUAUGGAUAACCGUAGUAAUUUUAGGGUUAAUACAUGUGUUUUUUUUGUUGGGUAACCAGUAAAGAAGUAUUUAUUAGACAUAAAACCAUUUUUUUAAAGGGGGAGUAUUAUUAAUGUUUUGACUUUUUGCCAGGUUUUUUAGUAGUAGCGAUGUUCCUUUCAAGUUUCUGCCCUAUCAGCUUUCGAUGGUAGUGUAUUGGACUACCAUGGCAGUAACGGGUAACGAAGAAUUUGGGUUCGAUUUCGGAGAGGGAGCCUGAGAGAUGGCUACCACAUCCAAGGAAGGCAGGCAGGCGCGUAAAUUACCCAAUCCUGACACAGGGAGGUAGUGACAAUAAAUCUCAAUACGAAGCCUUUGGUUUUGUAAUUGAAUUGAGAACAAUGUACAAUCGUUAUCGAUAAACAAUUGGAGGGCAAGUCUGGUGCCAGCAGCCGCGGUAAUUCCAGUUCCAAAGCA
rnacentral:rRNA from 1 species